rnacentral:rRNA from 1 species
CCUACGGGUGGCAGCAGUGAGGAAUAUUGGUCAAUGGCCGCAGGGCUGAACCAGCCAAGUCGCGUGAGGGAUGACGGUCCUAUGGAUUGUAAACCUCUUUUGUCGGGGAGCAAAAGACGCCACGCGUGGCGUUCCGAGAGUACCCGAAGAAAAAGCAUCGGCUAACUCCGUGCCAGCAGCCGCGGUAAUACGGAGGAUGCGAGCGUUAUCCGGAUUUAGUGGGUUUAAAGGGUGCGCAGGCGGAAGAUCAAGUCAGCGGUAAAAUUGAGAGGCUCAACCUCUUCGAGCCGUUGAAACUGGUUUUCUUGAGUGAGCGAGAGGUAUGCGGAAUGCGUGGUGUAGCGGUGAAAUGCAUAGAUAUCACGCAGAACUCCGAUUGCGAAGGCAGCAUACCGGCGCUCAACUGACGCUCAUGCACGAAAGUGUGGGUAUCGAACAGGAUUAGAUACCCUGGUAGUC